AGAGUUUGAUCCUGGCUCAGGAUGAACGCUAGCGGCAGGCUUAACACAUGCAAGUCGAGGGGCAGCGGGGUGUAGCAAUACAUCGCCGGCGACCGGCGCACGGGUGCGUAACACGUAUGGAAUCUGCCCUGUACUGGGGAAUAGCCCUCCGAAAGGAGGAUUAAUACCCCGUAAUAGCUUGAGUGGCAUCACUCGGGUUUGAAAGCUCCGGCGGUACAGGAUGACCAUGCGCACGAUUAGCUAGUAGGUGAGGUAACGGCUCACCUAGGCUACGAUCGUUAGGGGGCCUGAGAGGGUUAUCCCCCACACUGGUACUGAGACACGGACCAGACUCCUACGGGAGGCAGCAGUGAGGAAUAUUGCGCAAUGGAGGAAACUCUGACGCAGCCAUGCCGCGUGCAGGAAGACGGCCCUACGGGUUGUAAACUGCUUUUAUCAGGGAAGAAACCCCGGGACGUGUCCCGGGUUGACGGUACCUGAGGAAUAAGCACCGGCUAACUCCGUGCCAGCAGCCGCGGUAAUACGGAGGGUGCAAGCGUUAUCCGGAUUCAUUGGGUUUAAAGGGUGCGUAGGCGGGGUGGUAAGUCAGUGGUGAAAUCCUGCAGCUUAACUGUAGAAUUGCCAUUGAUACUGCCAUUCUUGAGUGCGCUUGAAGUGGGCGGAAUGUGCCGUGUAGCGGUGAAAUGCUUAGAUAUGGCACAGAACACCAAUUGCGAAGGCAGCUCACUAAGGCGAUACUGACGCUGAGGCACGAAAGCGUGGGGAUCGAACAGGAUUAGAUACCCCGGUAGU
rnacentral:rRNA from 1 species